CUUGGUCAUUUAGAGGAAGUAAAAGUCGUAACAAGGUCUCCGUUGGUAACCAGCGGAGGGAUCAUUACCGAGUUCUUACAGAACCCUACCCUCGUGUGCUAAGCUACCACUCAGCUUUUACACAAGAGUCCCGGCUUCACCGCCGGGAUAUCAGUGUAAAAAGCAAAACCUCUGUAUUAUUAUUAUUUCUCUGAGACUUUUUACAAAGAGUCAAAACUUUCAACAACGGAUCUCUUGGUUCUGGCAUCGAUGAAGAACGCAGCGAAAUGCGAUACGUAAUGUGAAUUGCAGAAUUCAGUGAAUCAUCGAAUCUUUGAACGCACCUUGCGCCCGCCAGUAUUCUGACGGGCAUGCCUGUUCGAGCGUCAUUUCAACCAUCAAGCCCCCGGCUUGUGUUGGGGCCCUGCGGCUGCCGCAGACCCCUAAAUCCAGUGGCGGGCUCGUCGUCGUACCGAGUGCAGUAAACAUCCUCUCUCGGGGACCCCGACGGGUGCCGGCCGUGAAACACCCACUUCUGAAUGUUGACCUCGGAUCAGGUAGGAAUACCCGCUGAACUUAAGCAUAUCAAUAAGCGGAGGA
rnacentral:rRNA from 1 species